rnacentral:tRNA from 1 species
GGCCUCUUAGCUCAGCAGGACAGAGCGCCACAUUCCUAAUGUGGGCGUCGGGGGUUCGAGUCCCUCAGAGGCCACCA